rnacentral:rRNA from 1 species
GAUGAACGCUGGCGGCGUGCUUAACACAUGCAAGUCGAACGAAGCGUAUUCAAGUGAAGUUUUCGGACAAAGCGAGGAUAUGACUUAGUGGCGGACGGAUGAGUAACGCGUGGGCAACCUGCCUUUCACAGCGGGAUAACAGAGGGAAGCUUCUGCUAAUACCGCAUAUACCUUUAUAACGCAUGUUAGGGAGGGGAAAGAAUUAUCGGUGAGAGAUGGGCCCGCGUCCGAUUAGAUAGUUGGUGGGGUAACAGCCUACCAAGUCAACGAUCGGUAGCCGGCUUGAGAGAGUGAACGGCCACAUUGGGACUGAGACACGGCCCAAACUCCUACGGGAGGCAGCAGUGGGGGAUAUUGGACAAUGGGGGCAACCCUGAUCCAGCGACGCCGCGUGAGUGAAGAAGUAUUUCGGUACGUAAAGCUCUAUCAGCAGGGAAGAAAGAAGACGGUACCUGACUAAGAGGCCCCGGCUAACUACGUGCCAGCAGCCGCGGUAAUACGUAGGGGGCAAGCGUUAUCCGGAAUUACUGGGUGUAAAGGGAGCGUAGACGGUUAAACAAGUCUGAAGUGAAAUGCCGGGGCUCAACCCCGGAGCUGCUUUGGGAACUGUAGAACUGGAGUGUCGGAGGGGUAAGCGGAAUUCCCAGUGUAGCGGUGAAAUGCGUAGAUAUUGGGAGGAACACCGGCGGCGAAGGCGGCUUACUGGACGACAACUGACGUUGAGGCUCGAAGGCGUGGGUAGCAAACAGG